rnacentral:misc_RNA from 1 species
AAGUCGUAACAAGGUUUCCGUAGGUGAACCUGCGGAAGGAUCAUUAGAAAGUUCCGGCGCUCCGGCGCCUACCUUCAAACCACUGUGAAACCACCCGUUGCUUCGGCGGCUUCGAGGGCUCCCUGACCGGGGCCCCCGUGUCGGUCCGCCCGAGGCUCCAAACAAAAACCUUUUCUGUAACCGUAGUCAGUCAAUCAAAAGUUUAAUUCGUUAAAA